UACUAGAGUAGCACUCGCAUAUCAAUAAGCGGAGGAAAAGAAACUAACAAGGAUUCCCCUAGUAACGGCGAGUGAAGCGGGAAGAGCUCAAAUUUGAAAUCUUAAAGGGUUUCCCUUUACGAAUUGUAGUUUAAAGAAGUGUUUUCUGUUGAGGUUUUGGUAAAAGUUCUUUGGAAUAGGACAUCAUAGAGGGUGAGAAUCCCGUAUUUGACCUUUACUUUCAACUUUGUGAUACACUUUCAAAGAGUCGGAUUGUUUGGGAAUGCAGUCCAAAAUGGGUGGUAAAUUUCAUCUAAAGCUAAAUAUUGGCGAGAGACCGAUAGCGAACAAGUACCGUGAGGGAAAGAUGAAAAGAACUUUGAAAAGAGAGUUAAACAGUACGUGAAAUUGUCAAAAGGGAAGCGUUUGACACCAGUGUUGUUUUUCUGAAAAUCAAUUAAGGAACUGUUUAUGCUAAGCUGUUUAGACUUUAUCAGCUAUCUGUUUAGUUUUGAGCUUUUCUUUAAUGCACUUUUCAGUUAACAAGUCAACAUCAAUUUCUUUUGCUGUAAAAAAGCUUGAGGAAGGUGGCUUGAGAUUCGUCUUAAGUGUUUAUAGCCUCUUGCCUAUGCAGUCGGAGAGAUUGAGGUCUGCAGCGUAGAUCCUUCGGGGCUAAAUGCAUUUGUGCUAAGUUAUAGCAUUUUAUAGACAACUUGUUGACUAUGAUUUGUCUUGUAGCUUACUCGCUUAUGUUAUUUUACCUACGCUUAGGAUGUUGAACUACUGAGACAUAG
rnacentral:rRNA from 1 species